rnacentral:ncRNA from 1 species
GAGAGCUUUUCGCGGGGAAACUUGCAAGUACAGUUUGGGGGGAGGCGGAUGUACCCGAACAAGGACUGGGCGUCGACCCAAC